CGUACGGAGAGUUUUGAGGGGAUCGAUCGGCGGGUUCAGAUUAAGCCUGUUUGGGAUACCCGUUUAAGUGAGGAAAUGUUUAUUAUAUGAAUUCCUUUUUCUUUUUCUUUAUUUCCUUCUUCCCCAAAACCGUCGAUCCACCUUCUCUUCCCCGACCCUUCUUCUCGAUCUCUUCUCCUCUCCACCGAAUCUCUCUCGCGUUGUCGCCGAUCUCCGCGAGCUCACCGCCGGCGGAGGUUUUCCUCUCUGGAGUCUCACCAACGUCAGGAUCCCUGGCUACCGGGCGGCUCGAUCCUCUCCUCCCUCCUCCUCUCAUGUCUCUGCCCUAGAUCAUCGACGCGCCAGUUCUUGGCGAUCGGCGAUUCUUUCCCGUCUCUUGGUGUUGCCGGCGAGGAGUGGAUCUUGGAGCUUCGAAGGGGUUAAAGCUAAGUCGGGUCUUUGGUCGUAGAUCCCUUUCUUCUUGUUGAUUGAGGGGCAGAGGAAUUCCGGGAACAUUGAAUCGAAUCGGGCGACACCUCCUGGAGACAAUCGGUUGAGUGAGGACCUGCUCUGUGGAUUUCAAAUUGAAUGCUGUGAGUUCUUGAUUCCAGCAAUUUCUUGGUCUCGGCAGCAACAAUCCUCUUGUCCCAAUAGCCACAGUAGCUGUGGAAUUGAGGACUCUGAUUCGAGACGGGCGUCUCGACCUGGGAUUGCUUGAUUGUACCUUCUAUUUGAGG